rnacentral:rRNA from 1 species
CGCUGGCGGCGCGUCUUAAGCAUGCAAGUCGAACGGCAAGGCAGGUGCUUGCACCUGCCCUAGAGUGGCGGACUGGUGAGUAACACGUGGGUGACAUGCCUUUAGUUGGGGAUAGCUACUAGAAAUAGUAGAUAAUACCGAAUGUGAUCAAUAUUUAUAGAUGAUGUUGAGGAAAGGAGCUAAGGCUUCGCUAAAAGAUUGGCCCGCGGCCCAUUAGCUAGUUGGUAGGGUAAAGGCUUACCAAGGCGAUGAUGGGUAUCCGGCCUGAGAGGGUGAUCGGACACAUUGGGACUGAGAUACGGCCCAGACUCCUACGGGAGGCAGCAGCUAAGAAUAUCCCACAAUGGACGAAAGUCUGAUGGAGCGACGCCGCGUGGAUGAUGAAAGGCCGAAAGGUUGUAAAAUCCUUUUACACUGGAGGAAUAAGCAGAGUAGGGAAUGACUCUGUGAUGACUGUACAGUUUGAAUAAGCAACGGCUAAUUACGUGCCAGCCGCUGC